rnacentral:tRNA from 1 species
GGCGCUAUCGUCUAACGGUUAGGACGUUUCCCCUUCAAGGAAGAAAUACGGGUUCGAUUCCCGUUAGCGCCACCA